rnacentral:rRNA from 1 species
CCUAACUGAACAAUAACACAAAUUCACAAUUGUGCUUAUUGUGAUAACGUAAGGGAAAAAAAUGAUAUUACCUUACUAUAAGUGUUGUCUAAAUAACUGGUGCCAGAAGACUCGGUAACACCAGAAACGCGAACGUUAGUCGUCUUAAACAGGCGUAAAGGGUAAGUAGGCUGCUUUAAAGUCUAAAUUUAAAAUAGCUAAUUAGUAAUAUUCCGCUUGCUGCGGAAGCAGCUACUAAAAGUUUUCAGACCUUAAUUUAUAAUUUAAGGCUAACUUAAAAUGAAAAUAGGGAAUUAUUAAGUUCUCUCUCUCUCUAGCUUCUAUGGAGCAAAGGGUGAGGAGGACUAAUAAUAUUAAUUAUUAAAAUUUUAAAAAUAGAUACACUUAAAGCUAGAAUCAUAAUUGAGAUAAACCAAAUAAUACUUAUGUGUAAGGGCGAUAUCUGAAAAUACUAAGUAGAAUACUAACGGUGAAAACUUUUUAUCUGGUAAUGAUAGACGCUGAGGUACGAAAGUGAGAACAGGGAAUAGGAUUAGAUACCCAGUUACCUCUCACCGUCAACGAUGAAUGGUAGUUGUUAGUUUAAUAAAAUUAGUGACGAUGUUAACGCGAUAACCAUUCCGCCUUGAGAGUACGGUUGCAAAACUGAAACCAAAAAAAUUGAUCGGUUCU